AUGGGGAAAAUUAAACAUUGUAACACAGCUGAAGUGCCUCCAAAGAGGAUUCGUUCCCUAACAUGUAUUUUACAUGUCUCAACUCUUUCUGAGUAUGGUAAUUUUACCACACUCAACACAUGCAGGGGGGGGCCAAGCGAGAAGCUAUCAUAUCUACACAGUAUACGAGAUAUGAGACUCUGUGAAGACGUCAGUUCACCAUACCACAUGAGGGAUAUUUGUGAACAGAUUCCAUUGACAUUAGAGGACUUGUCUUUGGAUACAACUGGCUAUCACCAAUACUGCUAUAAAAGCUUUACAGGGAAAAUAGAUCGUUUACAAGUGUCAAAGGCUUCUACAUCUGGUGAAUCAUUAUCAUUGAAAAGGGACUCUCUGCGCCAUGUCAAAUCUCUGUCAGUUCAAUCUGAAGGAGCUCCAAGAAGGUGUUCCUUCUUGUUUCCCAAUCAGUGCAUUUUCUGUGACAAAGCAAAAUCCAAGUUCAAGGGCAAGACUGAAGAGCUUACAAAGUUUCAGAGUUGGAAACACAAGGAACCAGCCUGGAAAGUUAUUGAACCUAGGGCACAGGAAUUAAAGAAAGAGGCUCUUUAUCGCAAGGUGCAGGGCAAGGACCUUUUUGCAAUGGAAGCUAAGUAUCAUCCAUCAUGCAGAAACAACUUCAACACAGAGUACCAAACCCAUGAGCGUGGAAAGGAGAGAGUAGAAAAGGCAGCAGACAACAUUGACAGCCUGCAGGCCCAGAAGAUAGCAGCACAUAACAAGUCAUAUUGUGUGGUAAAGGAUUACAUUCUUAGGAAUGUGAUUGAAUGCAAAGAGGUAGUCCAGCUAAGAUCCAUGUGCAACUUGUACAUGAAGACAUUGGAAAAUCAAGGUUUUCCUAAUCCUGAAUACCGCAGUGAGAAAUUGGCAAGACGGUUACAAGGAGACAAAGACAUCUCUCAUGAACUCACACUCUCCAAGGUGCAACAACAUGGGUGUAUUAAGUCGAACCUCAUAUACAGCUCUAGCAUUACUGUAGAUGAAGCAGUUGGAUGUGCGUACAAACUUGAAACAGCUGACCAACUUCAAGAAGCAGCACUCACCCUCCAUUCUCACAUUAUAAAGGCAUUCAAAGAGUCAAAGGAUCUACCAUGGCCCCCGACAGCACAGGAGCUAGAUGCUGUGAAGAUGGACGUGCUUCUUCCAGAGUAA
ensembl:lncRNA